rnacentral:rRNA from 1 species
GACGAACGCUGGCGGCGUGCUUAACACAUGCAAGUCGAACGAAGAGCGAUGGAAGCUUGCUUCUAUCAAUCUUAGUGGCGAACGGGUGAGUAACGCGUAAUCAACCUGCCCUUCAGAGGGGGACAACAGUUGGAAACGACUGCUAAUACCGCAUACGAUCUAAACUCGGCAUCGAGGAUAGAUGAAAGGUGGCCUCUACAUGUAAGCUAUCACUGAAGGAGGGGAUUGCGUCUGAUUAGCUAGUUGGAGGGGUAACGGCCCACCAAGGCGAUGAUCAGUAGCCGGUCUGAGAGGAUGAACGGCCACAUUGGGACUGAGACACGGCCCAGACGCCUACGGGAGGCAGCAGUGGGGAAUCUUCCGCAAUGGACGAAAGUCUGACGGAGCAACGCCGCGUGAGUGAUGACGGCCUUCGGGUUGUAAAGCUCUGUUAAUCGGGACGAAAGGCCUUCUUGCGAAUAGUGAGAAGGAUUGACGGUACCGGAAUAGAAAGCCACGGCUAACUACGUG